rnacentral:rRNA from 1 species
UACGGAGGGUGCGAGCGUUGUCCGGAAUCACUGGGCGUAAAGGGCGCGUAGGCGGCCUGAUAAGUAGGGGGUGAAAUCCUGCGGCUUAACCGCAGGGCUGCCUUCUAAACUGUCGGGCUAGAGCACGGUAGAGGCAGAUGGAAUUCCCGGUGUAGCGGUGAAAUGCGCAGAUAUCGGGAGGAACACCAAUGGCGAAGGCAGCUCGCUGGGACGUUACUGACGCUGAGACGCGAAAGCGUGGGGAGCAAACAGG